UUUUUUUUUUUUUUUUUUUAUCUGCUUCUUCAUUUCUCACUUGAGGAGGCCAGUCUCUGUGUGAUUGCCAUUCAGUAGCAUCUACCUCCAUCUAGACAAGGGGAACCUCCUCCCUUAUCUAGGACGUGGGUUGUGCCCUUCCCUCUUCUAGAUGGGGUUUUAUUUAUAAAUACGAUUAUGAAUGGAGUUUUUUGGUGCUAGACCAGUGCUGAUUGGUGAGGACAUCAUGUUGGUCAAAUCUGUUGGUUUGUGUUACUUUGGUUAGAUUUGUUACAUGCAGGUGAUUACUCCAUAUGUGUUAUGUUUUAGCUUUAGGAGAGGAAAAUGUUUUUGUAGAUGAUGGCAUCUCAAGGGUCCUUAGUCGGCUUCGGCUUCAUGGUUGACUCUCAAGGCUGUUAUUGCCGUUUCUAGGUUUCAAGCCCUGCCUUGUCACUCUCUACAGGUUGUUAACCUUGCCUACAAUGGUGAUCUGGGUUAUAUGGUCUUAUUGGCUCUGGUGUUUCAUGUCUCUUUUCUGUUGGGUUGCCUAAUCUUGCCAUUUGUGGGUUUGUCGACUGGGUAGUGGCUCUGGUAGGACUUCCUCAGGCAUCGUCCCAUUUUCUCGUCCUGGAAGAGCUUCGCCCCUAUGCUUCACUUGAUCUCUGUUUAUUCCCUGAAUGGCGCUGCAACAUUGAGUUUGUAGUUUUGUCCAUUUUCAUUUGGGCUACCGAAUAGAUUAGUUUUUAGUUAUUUAAUGGGACUUGGGCUCUUAUGUAUUAGGUUAGCUUGGGCUAGUUUUCAUUGUAUUGUUACUUUAUAACCAUUUUUUUUAUCAAUGAAACUCGAACUUUUGAUGAGACAAAAUUUAAUAAUUAAAAAAAAAGAUGGCACUUAAAUUUUUAAAAGAUAGAGAAAACAAAUUACAAUGUGAAACAUGUACUAUAUUAUUGGAAUUAGAAAAAUAUUAUGAAUUAAUUUUGAAGAAUUAAUUUUCAAAUUAAACAGUUUUUAAGUUCUAGCAGUUGAUUGAUUAAAGGAGCGGAAAAAAGAAGAUCUAAUCUGAUUCAUGUAUGCUCAAGUUUAUUGUUAAUCUAGAUUGAUAUUGAUAAGAAAUUUAUGAAUGAUAGAAAAAUUAAGGAUCCAUGAUUUAUAACAAAUUGAGAAUAUAAACACCUAGUAUAGUCACUAAUAACCCACUUGUGUUUGAUUAAUUAAAUAUUUAAUUUUGGCUAAAAGUUAAAUUUCACCUAUGU
rnacentral:misc_RNA from 1 species